UACAGAGGGUGCAAGCGUUAAUCGGAAUUACUGGGCGUAAAGCGUGCGUAGACGGUUAUGUAAGUCAGAUGUGAAAGCCCCGGGCUCAACCUGGGAAUUGCAUUUGAGACUGCAUAGCUAGGGUGCGGAAGAGGGAAGCGGAAUUCCCGGUGUAGCGGUGGAAUGCGUAGAGAUCGGGAAGAACAUCGGUGGCGAAGGCGGUCUGCUGGGCCGUUGCUGACGCUGAGGCGCGACAGCGUGGGGAGCAAACAGG
rnacentral:rRNA from 1 species